GAACGCUGGAUUUUCCUGAAUUCUGUGUGAAUUAGUUUCUUCUGCAAUUCAUGCAUUUGCCACAUUGAAGGGUAAAAGAAGGAAAAUAUGUGAAGCACGCCAGGCCUAGGGGCAAGAUUGGAAAGUAUUGACCGGUGCCAAGGUGCCAAGGUGCCAACGGCCACCAUUAACUGGAAAUAACCUUUGAUUGGUCAUGCACAACUUAGAAUAGAUUGUGGUCCAUCCCAAAGGCAAACAACGCAGGGAUUUAUUCAUGCCUUAGGGAUCUUCUCAAUGUCUCCUAGCACCUAUCCGCUCGAAGACGAGAAUGUCAAUCCUACCGCGAAUUGGAAAUUAUCAGCACCAGCUCCAGCAAAGAAAUCAUGGAUCCCAGCGGGCUUUGGAGGCAGUGGCAAGCAUGACGCCACCAUCGACAUCCCAUUAUAUGAUCCGAAGAAGCGGGAGCAAGAGCUCUUAUCAUGGGAGGAGGAUUUGAAGAGGAGGGAGCGGGAUAUCAUACAGAGGGAGAAUGCAAUGAACAGAGCUGGUGUCACCAUCGAAGUGAAAAAUUGGCCACCAUUCUUCCCCGUCAUACAUCAUGACAUAGCCAAUGAAAUACCAACCCAUGCUCACCAGUUGCAAUAUUUAGCAUUUGCUAGUUGGCUAGGAAUUGUUGUAUGUCUCAGUUGGAAUGUAGUUGCUGUCUUAGUUGAAUCAAUUCACGGGGAAGGUGCUAAUAUUUUGCCUCACGAACAUUUUUUUUUCAGUGUGCAUCUUUUUCUUAUCCUUUUUAUGGCAGAUAUUGUUCUUUUUCUCCUUGCCAUCAUCUAUGCUGCAUUUGGAUGUCCUCUUUCAUACAUCCUAUGGUACAGGCCUCUGUACCAGGCCAUGAGAACUGAUAGCGUGGUGACAUUUGCCCAGUUUUUCGUCUUCUACUCGGUGCAUGUUGGGUUUUGUGUUAUUGCUGCAAUUGCUCUGCCGAUAAUAUUCAUGGGGAAAACUCUUACGGGAAUUCUUGUGGCUAUCGAGGUUUUAAACACGGAUAUGUUUGUCGGGGUACGUUCGUCUGCAUUACAUUAUUAUGGUUAACUAUGAACACAACUUCAGUGAUGUAACUUGCCGUGGGCCUUAAUUCUUGUCUGUUUUGGAGCAAUGCAGAGGGUAUGCGUGUAUUUUCGAGGGCACAGGUGAAGCCUAGCAAUGAGACUAUGAAAUCAUUCAAGGCAACUGUCUCCUCAACAGCAAGCAUUCUGAUGUAAAACACAAAGUUGACGGUGAAUGUGGGUGAACUGCCUCUGCUGAAUUCUUGCAUAUUCAGACAUACAGUGGAAAUUGAUUUAAUCUCAUAGUAGAAAUGUGAAUCAAGAUAACAAGUACUAUUUGAUUCAACAUCUCCGAAACAGAAUGGUGGUACCAGAUCCCAUGCCUCCAAAACUUGCAGCGUGUCUCCUGCCGAUGUGCGAAUGGUGAAGCGUGUUAGACAGUUCAGGCUUAUGCAGGUUCUCCGGUCAAAGAUGAAAGCAUUUAGGACCUCUUUUGUUUUUCAUUUGUAUCUGAUAAAUAUGUACUGUUUUCUAUAAAUAUUAAUAUCAGAUUUGUUU